CCUGGUGCUGUAAACUACACCAGCUGAACUUGCUCUUUGACCUGCAAAGUCUAAUGGAAUCAAGAUGUGCACUACUGUGGCAUUUGAGCUCCAGGAAAUAAGGUCUCAGAGUAUGGAAGACACACUAACCUGAUUAACCUUUGUGAGGCACAAUGGGGCUGCUGUGAGUAAACCUGAUCUCUCAACAAUUAAA